rnacentral:rRNA from 1 species
CCAGCUUUGACAUGGCACUGCAAUCCGGUGAAAGCCGGUAGCCUUCGAGGGUGUGCCACAGAUGUUGCAUGGCUGUCGUCAGCUCGUGUCGUGAGAUGUUGGGUUAAAUCCCGCAACGAGCGCAACCCCUACGGUCAGUUAUAUUGUGUCUGGCCGGACUGCCCAUUUUGGGAGGAAGACGGGGAUGACGUCAAGUCCGCAUGGCUCUUACGCCUGGGGCGACACACACGCUACAAUGCCACCAGCAGAGCGUUGCUCCCCCGCGAGGGGUGGCCAAUCCCCAAGGGGUGGCCCAGUGCAGAUUGGGGGUUGCAACUCGCCCCCACGAAGGCGGAGUUGCUAGUAACCGCGUAUCAGCCGCGGCGCGGGGAAUACGUACCCGGGCCUUGUACACACCGCCCGUCACGUCAUGGGAGUGGUCAAGGCGUGAAGUCCGUGGGCUGACCGAGUUCGCUCGGGGGCAGCGGCCGAGCGCCGGGGCCGCGACUGGGACG